rnacentral:rRNA from 1 species
GCCUACGGGAGGCAGCAGUCAGGAAUAUUGCGCAAUGGAGGAAACUCUGACGCAGCGACGCCGCGUGGGUGAUGAAGGCCUUCGGGUCGUAAAGCCCUGUCGGAAGGGAAAGAAAAGCGCGCUGGCUAAUAUCCAGCGGGCCUUUGACGGUACCUUCAAAGGAAGCACCGGCUAACUCCGUGCCAGCAGCCGCGGUC